rnacentral:rRNA from 2 species
UACGGGGGGUGCGAGCGUUGUCCGGAAUCACUGGGCGUAAAGGGCGCGUAGGUGGUUUGAUAAGGGUGUGGUGAAAGUCCGGGGCUCAACCCCGGAUCUGCCGUGCCGACUGUCAAACUCGAGGACUGUAGAGGCAGACGGAAUUCCGGGUGUAGCGGUGGAAUGCGUAGAGAUCCGGAGGAAGACCGGUGGCGAAGGCGGUCUGCUGGGCAGUUUCUGACACUGAGGCGCGACAGCGUGGGGAGCAAACAGG